rnacentral:rRNA from 1 species
AUUGAACGCUGGCGGCAGGCCUAACACAUGCAAGUCGAGCGGAGCGGCGGACGGGUGAGUAAUGCCUCGGAAUCUGCCUGGUAGUGGGGGAUACCGUCCGGAAACGGGCGCUACUACCGCAUACUAUCAGAUGAGCCUCGGUCGGAGUAGCUAGUUUGUGGGGUAAAGGCCUACCAAGGCGACGAUCCGUACCUGGUCUGAGAGGAUGAUCAGUCACACUGGAACGGAGACACGGUCCGGAAUCCUACGGGAGGCAGACGUGGGGAAUAUUGGACAAGUGGCGAAAGCCGGAUCCAGCCAAGCCGCGUGUGUGAAGAAGGGCUUCGGAUUGUAAAGCACUUUAAGUUGGGAGGCGUUACCAACAGAAUAAGCACCGGCUAACUUCGUGCCAGCAGCCGCGGUAAUUC